UGUGUGUGUGUCAGCAUGGCCUCAUGCUGUUGACAGCGGGCCGCAGUUACCUGGCUGUGGUACUGGGCGUCAGGUUUUUCUUGUCCCCCAAUGUAUUGUCCUCUUUGGAAGGAGUCCUAAGUACAACCCCCGUGUAAGGCUGGGGAGUUCUGCUCCAUCUCUCUUUUUUAUUUUAAGAUUUUAUUUAUUUACUUGGGGGAAAGAAAGAGAGUGCACAGGGGUGAAUGGGGGAGAGGUGCAGAGGGAGAGCAGGUUGCCUGCUGAGCAGGGAGCCUGAUACAGGACUCGAUCUCAGGACCUGGGAUCAUGACCUGAGCCCAAGGCAGAUGCGUAACGGACUGAGCCGCCCAGGCGCCCCCCUGCUCCCUCUCCCCAAAGCCAGGGUAUCUACAUAAAUUCUCCGGGAUUCUGUACAGGAGGGAUCUGUUCUCCCCAUUCUCUCCCAUUUGUGUAUUUACUCCAUCGUGCAUAUCAGUAUGGAUCAGGGAUACGUAUAUACUUGGGGUUAUAAUCCAAUACUGUUAUUUUCUGUCUUUGGCCAUUGAGCGCUCUUUUGGUUGGCUCCUGUGUCCCUCUGACACGUUUGUCCACCGAGUGGGGCUUUCAGCCCCUGGAGAGGAAGGGAAAUGGCAGCCCUGACAGACACCACAGUGGAACAUUCCAUCUGCUAGGAUGAGCCACAGCUCCCUCCCUCUGCCCGUCUGGUCCUUGUCAUCUGGCAUAGCCACCAAGCCUCAGUAAAGGCUCAUCAUUUGGUUCUCUGCCCACAUGGGCAGGGUUUCUGUGCUCUUAAUGUGCAGGAGAGGGAACCAACCAAGACAGGGAUCUUGAUCCAGUCAGGGCUUGCAUCCCAGUUAGCCAUGAGGGCCUUGUGGGGCAGGCGCUACUGGUGUCCCAGGAGUGAUAGCCCACCUGAGCAUGUAUGGGAUGCGGCAGGCAAGAGGGCUGAGGUCAUGCUGUGGGCGUCCAUCUAGGGCCUCCCAAGAGUUCCCUGGCCACACUUCCGCCCUCAGGAAGCCCCUGCCAGUCCCUGUUGGAUCUUCUGUGGCCUGGCCCUUGAGGGAAUUGCCCCCAUGGGGUCUUGGGGGGGCGGUGAGGAGACCCAAGUUUGCUGGGGGAUGGUGGGACGCUUCCUGAAGUCCCGGCUGAGCACUGCAGCCUGCCCGGCUGCCCAUGUCCUUUCUGCUGGUGCCUGGGUCUGGUUCCUCCCACCUCAAGGCACAUGAGUAAAGAAGAAUCACGGGCACCCCGGUGGCUCAGUGGUUUAGCACUGCCUUCAGCCCAGGGCCUGAUCCUGGAGACCAGGGAUCGAGUCCCACGUCGGGCUCCCUGAAUGGAGCCUGCUUCUCCCUCUACCUGCGUCUCUGCCUCUCUCUUUCUCUCUCUCUCUCUCUGUGUCUCUCGUGAAUAAAUAAAAUCUUUAAAAAAAAAAAUCACACAUCUAAGGUGUGGCAAGAGCUAUUAAGUACUAGAGCCUGUGUCACUGCUUUCCGUUUCCUUCUGUGUUCUCACGGUGGCCCUGUGGCCCUAAGAGAGUGGUGCAGGUUUAGUUACCUGCCUAGCUAGUAAGAGGUGGAACCAGGAUUUAGUUAGACUGGCUAGACUCCGGGCUCAUCACCCCCUGGCCAUACCACGUGCCUCAGUGUGUGAGUGGUCGGCAAGGCCUUCGCAGUCCGAGCCCUGUAGCAGACAGGUGAGGUGAGCAGGGUCAGGUGUGAGGACAGUGGCUCUGCCCCAGAGGGAUCUCUUCCCGCAGCCCCCAAACCUUCCACAGCAUUUGAGGAGCAGGCUAGCGGCAGUGAUGCUGGCAAACGUCAAAGGCACAGGUUAGGACAGUCCUUGCAGCUGCUCAGGGAUCCCCGAUGGCCAGAGCAGUCUUGGUGAGGAGGGGGUGUGUGGUCAUAGCCCCUUGGUCCUGCUCCUCAGGGAUCCUGGCCUUGGCGGUGCUUAGGGAGCUGGCCCACCUCGCUCAUCUGUGCUCCAGUGAGGGAGAUGGUUCUGGAUAGGUAGGAAGGUUGGGUUAUUUUAAUUUUCCUUCUAUUUUUUCCAGCAAGGCCUGUGAUUAUUACAUUAAUCUUCCAGGCGAAGUUUUUACAACCAAUCCCUCGCCGACUAUGAGAAGUUUCUCCAUCCAUUACCAAGAGGGAAACAGACCCUGGUGGGGAGGAAAAUAUUUGUUACAUCUUAUCAGGCUGACACACAAUCUAACAACAAUUACAGCAGCCCCAUUUUUUGCACUAUUUCAGCUCUGGCGUGAAAAAUUGUUGUAAUAUUAAAGUGAGUCAGGGUGGGGGCUGGUCAUAGAAGAGGCUGCUGCUAUUCCAGGCUCUGGGCCCUGGCUUUCUGGCCUCCCCGGGCAAGCCCACUGGGCUCCGAGGGGGAGUGUUUGCAUGUAAAUCCCAGCUCGCUUCUUGGGCUAAUGGCCCUGAAGCUGCAGAGACGCCUAGGAAUGUGGAAGGGCUCCUGAAGGACCCGUGCCCCCAGUCCUGCCCCCAGCCCUUUGCAGCCCAAAUGCCUGCUCACCACCACGCCUCUUAGGGUGUUCUCCCUGGACUGCUUAAAACGAUGUUGUGUUUUUUAGGACUAAACAGAUAGAUGGAAGUGUCACACCAGAAAAGGACUUGGCGAGCAAACCUUCCUCAACGUUUUUCUAAUAAAACCGAGCUGCCCAGU
rnacentral:lncRNA from 1 species